AUUAUAUUAUCUCUAUCGCUAUGGCCCGUACCAAGCAGACCGCCCGCAAAUCCACCGGAGGGAAAGCUCCCCGCAAGCAGCUCGCCACCAAGGCAGCCAGGAAGAGCGCCCCGGCCACCGGCGGAGUCAAGAAACCUCACCGUUACCGGCCCGGCACAGUCGCUCUCCGGGAGAUCCGCCGCUACCAGAAAUCCACCGAGCUGCUCAUCCGCAAACUGCCUUUCCAGCGCCUGGUCCGGGAGAUCGCUCAGGACUUCAAGACCGACCUGCGCUUCCAGAGCUCAGCCGUCAUGGCUCUGCAGGAGGCCAGCGAGGCUUAUCUGGUCGGUCUCUUUGAGGACACCAACCUGUGCGCCAUCCACGCCAAGAGGGUCACCAUCAUGCCCAAGGACAUCCAGCUGGCCCGCAGGAUCCGAGGCGAGAGGGCUUAGAUCCAACCCGCACAGCCUCCCAGCAGCACAAAGGCUCUUUUCAGAGCCACCAAAUCCCCAAUCAAAUCAGCUGAACACACACCCAAGAAGGCGGCAGCGGGAGGCGCCAAAGCCAAGAAACCCUCCGGGCCCAGCGCGGCCGAGCUCAUCGUGAAAGCCGUGUCCGCCUCUAAGGAGCGCAGCGGGGUGUCCCUGGCCGCUCUCAAGAAGGCUCUGGCUGCCGGAGGCUACGAUGUGGAGAGGAACAACAGCCGCCUCAAGCUGGCUCUCAAGGCCUUGGUCACUAAGGGGACUCUCACCCAAGUCAAGGGGAGCGGAGCCUCCGGAUCCUUCAAGCUGAACAAGAAGCCGCUGGAGAGUAAGGAGAAGGCGGCCAAGAAGAAGCCAGCGGCGCCCAAAGCCAAGAAACCAGCGGCGGCGGCAAAGAAGGCGCCCAAGUCCCCUAAAAAGCCCAAGAAGGUCUCGGCAGCAGCAAAGAGCCCCAAGAAGGUGAAGAAACCGGCAAAGGCCGCCAAAAGCCCCAAGAAGCCCAAAGCUGCCAAACCCAAGAAGGUGGCCAAGAGCCCGGCUAAAAAGCAAAAGAGCCGAUACCUGUGCGACUGCGUUACUGUAAUAUGUCGGGGUUUUCGGUUCGGGCAGAGCUCCUAUUCGGAAUUGUAUACGAUGGCCCGUACCAAGCAGACCGCCCGCAAAUCCACCGGAGGGAAAGCUCCCCGCAAGCAGCUCGCCACCAAGGCAGCCAGGAAGAGCGCCCCGGCCACCGGCGGAGUCAAGAAACCUCACCGUUACCGGCCCGGCACAGUCGCUCUCCGGGAGAUCCGCCGCUACCAGAAAUCCACCGAGCUGCUCAUCCGCAAACUGCCUUUCCAGCGCCUGGUCCGGGAGAUCGCUCAGGACUUCAAGACCGACCUGCGCUUCCAGAGCUCAGCCGUCAUGGCUCUGCAGGAGGCCAGCGAGGCUUAUCUGGUCGGUCUCUUUGAGGACACCAACCUGUGCGCCAUCCACGCCAAGAGGGUCACCAUCAUGCCCAAGGACAUCCAGCUGGCCCGCAGGAUCCGAGGCGAGAGGGCUUAGAUCCAACCCGCACAGCCUCCCAGCAGCACAAAGGCUCUUUUCAGAGCCACCAAA